GCUGGCGGCAGGCCUAACACAUGCAAGUCGAACGGUAACAGGAAGCAGCUUGCUGCUUCGCUGACGAGUGGCGGACGGGUGAGUAAUGUCUGGGAAACUGCCUGAUGGAGGGGGAUAACUACUGGAAACGGUGGCUAAUACCGCAUAACGUCGCAAGACCAAAGAGGGGGACCUUCGGGCCUCUUGCCAUCAGAUGUGCCCAGAUGGGAUUAGCUUGUUGGUGAGGUAACGGCUCACCAAGGCGACGAUCCCUAGCUGGUCUGAGAGGAUGACCAGCCACACUGGAACUGAGACACGGUCCAGACUCCUACGGGAGGCAGCAGUGGGGAAUAUUGCACAAUGGGCGCAAGCCUGAUGCAGCCAUGCCGCGUGUAUGAAGAAGGCCUUCGGGUUGUAAAGUACUUUCAGCGGGGAGGAAGGUGUUGUGGUUAAUAACCGCAGCAAUUGACGUUACCCGCAGAAGAAGCACCGGCUAACUCCGUGCCAGCAGCCGCGGUAAUACGGAGGGUGCAAGCGUUAAUCGGAAUUACUGGGCGUAAAGCGCACGCAGGCGGUCUGUCAAGUCGGAUGUGAAAUCCCCGGGCUCAACCUGGGAACUGCAUUCGAAACUGGCAGGCUUGAGUCUUGUAGAGGGGGGUAGAAUUCCAGGUGUAGCGGUGAAAUGCGUAGAGAUCUGGAGGAAUACCGGUGGCGAAGGCGGCCCCCUGGACAAAGACUGACGCUCAGGUGCGAAAGCGUGGGGAGCAAACAGGAUUAGAUACCCUGGUAGUCCACGCCGUAAACGAUGUCUACUUGGAGGUUGUGCCCUUGAGGCGUGGCUUCCGGAGCUAACGCGUUAAGUAGACCGCCUGGGGAGUACGGCCGCAAGGUUAAAACUCAAAUGAAUUGACGGGGGCCCGCACAAGCGGUGGAGCAUGUGGUUUAAUUCGAUGCAACGCGAAGAACCUUACCUGGUCUUGACAUCCACAGAAGAAUCCAGAGAUGGAUUGGUGCCUUCGGGAACUGUGAGACAGGUGCUGCAUGGCUGUCGUCAGCUCGUGUUGUGAAAUGUUGGGUUAAGUCCCGCAACGAGCGCAAC
rnacentral:rRNA from 1 species